UAUGAUGCGGGCUGGAUCUCUCGGGGUUACAGCCUUGCUGAAUUAUUCACCCUUGUCUUUUGCGUACUUCUUGUUUCCUUGGUGGGUUCGCCCACCACUAGGACAAACAUAAACCUUUUGUAAUUGCAAUCAGCGUCAGUAACAAAUUAAUAAUUACAACUUUCAACAACGGAUCUCUUGGUUCUGGCAUCGAUGAAGAACGCAGCGAAAUGCGAUAAGUAGUGUGAAUUGCAGAAUUCAGUGAAUCAUCGAAUCUUUGAACGCACAUUGCGCCCUUUGGUAUUCCAAAGGGCAUGCCUGUUCGAGCGUCAUUUGUACCCUCAAGCUUUGCUUGGUGUUGGGCGUCUUGUCUCUAGCUUUGCUGGAGACUCGCCUUAAAGUAAUUGGCAGCCGGCCUACUGGUUUCGGAGCGCAGCACAAGUCGCACUCUCUAUCAGCAAAGGUCUAGCAUCCAUUAAGCCUUUUUUCAACUUUUGACCUCGGAUCAGGUAGGGAUACCCGCUGAACUUAAGCAUAUCAAA
rnacentral:rRNA from 1 species